UGACCUACUUCUCACGUGAGGCUGGGACUGGGAGGAGGCUAUGUAGGUCACACGUGGAGGCUAAUCCUAAUCGCAAACGCAAAGGUACACGACAUGGCUUUUCAGGCGAAGGACCAAUAAAUACAUGAAGUGUAUUACCACAUAUUAAAGCUUAGAAGAAGGUGCAGAGAGAGGAGGCUGCACAGCUGACGGAGCUAAUGCGGCCCCAGCACACAGAUGGUUCUUCUGGCAAUCUCCACAGUCCAGAAAUCUUUUAAAGCUUUUGGAGCUGGAGAGAAGCAGAUACUCACCUUCAGCUCCAGGACUUACCACUCCUGCCCCUCUCCGUGCAAUCUCCAGCUCCCUGAAGAAGUUCUCCAGUUCCUUGCCUUCAAUGUAGCCAUUACCUGGAACACAGAGCACCGUGAGAUGAUAACACAUAUCAUUGCCUUUCUUUAAUACUGCUGACAUGCAUACAACUCAUGUGCUCAUGAAGUCACACCCGCAUCGAAGCUUGACAUUGUAUUGAUCCAAACAUGAGCCUUUUACCAGUAACUGUCUUCCUCCCCCUGUACUAAUAGAUCCAACUAUUGAUUGGUGCAAUGGAAACUGAUCACUACUAAAGAACUGCAGGAGGUUAGAUAUAAAAAAACUGUUUCUUUUUUUUUUUUUAGCAGGGAAGGUGAUGUCACAUUCCCAUAUUCUGAAGGAAACUAAAAUAAAAGGCAACAGUGGUGGUUUAGGAAAAAGAAGAUAUUUCAGUAAGUGGGGCAGAAUAAGGUAAAUAUCCAUUCAUUUGACAAAGCGUUGUUUAAAAUUUUAACUUCUCCUGAGCUUCUGUAAAAACAUGGCGGUCUGGUGUGUCUGGGUAGCACCCUCUGACCUGCUUUUAUCCUGACUUAAGGCAUGAUCCCAUUAUUGGAGUUUUUUUUUAUGGUGUGGAAUAAUUGAAAAUCUUCAUUCAAAUGAUAACCCAUGAACACAAUUAUAUAGAUGUAUGAUUUUAUUUCUUCUGGUGUUGGGACUCUCUUUCCAUGCCCAUUAGCUUGUUCAUUAACUUCAAAUUAAUGCCUUUGUCACAUAAUGGCCAUCUAGAUCGUUCCACUAAGACUGCACUGCACUUUAACAAUUGAAUAAGCUCACUCAAUGCAUUUCUUAAGCUCUUAAGAAAAUACAGUACCAUACAGGAGUCAAUUUGUUUACUGUAUUGCUACCCACUGUCUUUGCAUAUUGGGCACAUACUAAAUAAAUCCCAAUUCUCUUGACGCCUCUAAUACUUAUCUGCAGCUUGGUUUGCCCUUGCUCUAAAGUUCCUGUGGAGCCUUAAUGUUCCUAGCAGUGAUCCACUGCCCUGACACUGCUUAUUCA